CGGGAUGUGGCUCAAGUGGUAGGGCGCUCGCCUGGCAUGCGUGAGGUACUGAGUUCGAUCCUCAGCACCACAU
rfam:Ictidomys tridecemlineatus contig015725, whole genome shotgun sequence.